GACGAACGCUGGCGGCGUGCUUAACACAUGCAAGUCGAACGGAAAGGCCCUGCUUUUGUGGGGUGCUCGAGUGGCGAACGGGUGAGUAACACGUGAGUAACCUGCCCUUGACUUUGGGAUAACUUCAGGAAACUGGGGCUAAUACCGGAUAGGAGCUCCUGCUGCAUGGUGGGGGUUGGAAAGUUUCGGCGGUUGGGGAUGGACUCGCGGCUUAUCAGCUUGUUGGUGGGGUAGUGGCUUACCAAGGCUUUGACGGGUAGCCGGCCUGAGAGGGUGACCGGCCAAAUUGGGACUGAGAUACGGCCCAGACCCCUACGGGGGGAAGGAGGGGGGAAUAUUGCAAAAUGGGCGGAAGCCGGAUGCAGCAACGCCGGGUGGGGGAGGACGGCCUUCGGGUUGGAAACCGCUUUCGCCUGUGACGAAGCGUGGGUGACGGUAAUGGGUAAAGAAGCACCGGCUAACUACGU
rnacentral:rRNA from 1 species